GGACCCGCACAAGCGGUGGAGCAUGUGGUUUAAUUCGAUGCAACGCGAAAAAACCUUACCUACUCUUGACAUACUUGGAAGCUCUUGUAAUGAGAGUGUGCCUUUUGGAGCCAAGAUACAGGUGCUGCAUGGCUGUCGUCAGCUCGUGUCGUGAGAUGUUCCGUUAAGUCGGAUAACGAGCGCAACCCUUAUCUCUAGUUGCCAGCGGGUAAUGCCGGGGACUCUAGUCAGACUGCCUGUAUUAAACAGGAGGAAGGUGGGGACGACGUCAAGUCAGUAUGGCCCUUACGCCUAGGGCUGCACAGCGUACUACAAUGCUCGUACAAUGUGAACCGAUACCGCAAGGU
rnacentral:rRNA from 1 species